AUUGAACGCUGACGGCAGGCCUAACACAUGCAAGUCGAACGAGUGGCGGACGGGUGAGUAAUGUCUGGGAAACUGCCCGAUGGCGGGGGAUAACUACUGGAAACGGUCGCUAAUACCGCAUACCAUCGGAUGUGCCCAGAUGGGAUUCGCUAGUAGGUGGGGUAACGGUUCACCUAGGCGACGAUCCCUAGCUGGUCUGAGAGGAUGACCAGCCACACUGGAACGGAGACACGGUCCAGACCCCUACGGGAGGCAGCAGUGGGGAAUAUUGCACAAUGGGCGCAAGCCUGAUGCAGCCAGGCCGCGUGUGUGAAGAAGGCCUUCGGGUUUUAAAGCACUUUCAGCGGGGAGGCGUUACCCGCAGAAGAAGCACCGGCUAACUCCGUGCCAGCAGCCGCGGUAAUUC
rnacentral:rRNA from 1 species